rnacentral:rRNA from 1 species
CCUACGGGUGGCAGCAGUGAGGAAUAUUGGUCAAUGGUCGAGAGACUGAACCAGCCAAGCAGCGUGAAGGAUGACUGUCCUAAGGGUCGUAAACCUCUUUUAUAUGGGAACAAAACAGGGGAUGCAUACCCUCUUGUAUGUACCAUAUGAAUAAGGAUCGGCUAACUCCGUGCCAGCAGCCGCGGUAAUACGGAGGAUCCGAGCGUUAUCCGGAUUUAUUGGGUUUAAAGGGUGCGUAGGUGGAUUGUUAAGUCAGUUGUGAAAGUUUGCGGCUCAACCGUAGAAUUGCAGUUGAAACUGGCAGUCUUGAGUACGAGAGAGGUAGGCGGAAUUCGUGGUGUAGCGGUGAAAUGCUUAGAUAUCGCGAAGAACUCCGAUUGCGAAGGCAGCUCGCUGGACUGCAACUGACGCUGAUGCUCGAAAGUGUGGGUAUCGAACAGGAUUAGAUACCCGUGUAGUC